UACGAAGGGACCUAGCGUAAUUCGGAAUUACUGGGCGUAAAGCGCGCGUAGGCGGUUAAGUAAGUUAAUUGUGAAAGCCCAAAGCUCAACUUUGGAAUUGCAAUUAAAACUAUUUAGCUAGAGUUUAUCAGAGGAAAGCGGAAUACAUAGUGUAGAGGUGAAAUUCGUAGAUAUUAUGUAGAACACCAGUUGCGAAGGCGGCUUUCUGGGAUAACACUGACGCUGAGGUGCGAAAGUAUGGGUAGCGAAGAGG
rnacentral:rRNA from 1 species